UUGCUAAGACUGGAUAGGAAAUAAAAAGGCAUCUUUUUAUUUUUAAAAGACCUUUUUCGGAAGGUAUGCUUAAAGAGGGGCUUGCGUCACAUUAGUUAGUUGGCAGGGUAAAGGCCUACCAAGACUAUGAUGUGUAGCUGGACUGAGAGGUUGAACAGCCACAUUGGGACUGAGACACGGCCCAAACUCCUACGGGAGGCAGCAGUAGGGAAUUUUCGGCAAUGGAGGAAACUCUGACCGAGCAACGCCGCGUGAACGAUGAAGUAUUUCGGUAUGUAAAGUUCUUUUAUUGAAGAAGAAAAAAUAGUGGAAAAACUAUCUUGACGAUAUUCAAUGAAUAAGCCCCGGCAAACUAUGUGCCAGCAGCCGCGGUAAUACAUAGGGGGCGAGCGUUAUCCGGAAUUAUUGGGCGUAAAGGGUGCGUAGGCGGUUUAAUAAGUCUAUAGUUUAAUUUCAGUGCUUAACACUGUCCUGCUAUAGAAACUAUUAGACUAGAGUGAGAUAGAGGCAAGUGGAAUUCCAUGUGUAGCGGUAAAAUGCGUAAAUAUAUGGAGGAACACCAGAGGCGUAGGCGGCUUGCUGGGUCUUUACUGACGCUGAGGCACGAAAGCGUGGGGAGCAAACAGGAUUAGAUACCCUGGUAGUCCACGCCGUAAACGAUGAGUACUAAGUGUCGGGAUUACUCGGUACUGAAGUUAACACAUUAAGUACUCCGCCUGAGUAGUACGUACGCAAGUAUGAAACUUAAAGGAAUUGACGGGACUCCGCACAAGCGGUGGAUCAUGUUGUUUAAUUCGAAGAUACACGAAAAACCUUACCAGGUCUUGACAUACUCUGCAAAGCUAUAGCAAUAUAGUGGAGGUUAUCAGGGAUACAGGUGGUGCAUGGUUGUCGUCAGCUCGUGUCGUGAGAUGUUAGGUUAAGUCCUAAAACGAGCGCAACCCUUGUCAUUAGUUGCCAGCAUGUCAUGAUGGGCACUUUAAUGAGACUGCCAAUGAAAAAUUGGAGGAAGGUGAGGAUCACGUCAAAUCAUCAUGCCCCUUAUGAUCUGGGCUACAAACGUGAUACAAUGGCUGUUACAAAGAGUAGCUGAAACGCAAGUUUAUAGCCAAUCUCAUAAAAGCAGUCUCAGUUCGGAUUGAAGUCUGCAACUCGACUUCAUGAAGUUGGAAUCGCUAGUAAUCGCGAAUCAGCAUGUCGCGGUGAAUACGUUCU
rnacentral:rRNA from 1 species